AUCAUUUCCAGAGGAUAAUCUAUUCUUUCAAGUUUUUUGAGUUAUCACUGAUAUAUGGUCUAUCGACCACUUCGAGAUUAUUCUAUUUUUGAGACCAUGGUGGGUUUGAAGGGGCUUGCUCCUCACCUACCGCGGGUUGACCCGGUAUUGCACCUACCUCCGGGAACGGCCCAUUCAUC
rnacentral:snRNA from 1 species